AUACGGAGGGUCCAAGCGUUAUCCGGAUUCAUUGGGUUUAAAGGGUCCGCAGGCGGGAAAAUAAGUCAGUGGUGAAAGCCUACAGCUCAACUGUAGAACUGCCAUUGAUACUGUUUUUCUUGAGUAUAGAUGAAGUGGGCGGAAUAUAUCAUGUAGCGGUGAAAUGCAUAGAUAUGAUAUAGAACACCGAUUGCGAAGGCAGCUCACUAAACUAUUACUGACGCUCAGGGACGAAAGCGUGGGGAGCAAACAGGAUUAGAAACCCUUGUAGUCC
rnacentral:rRNA from 1 species